CGCGAAAAGUCUUUCCUGCGGAAAAGGAAAGAGGGCCAGAUGCGUGGGAAACGGAUUGCGUCCGACAGGGUGAAAGUCGAAUUCCCUGGUAUGCGCACGCGCUGCCCUCACUCUCAGGCUGUGGUGAGUCUGCAGCGCGUCAGCUUAGCGGUAGCCGGUCGAGAGCUCCGUUAUUUGUUACUCUGAAAUCACUCCUGGAGAGAGUGAAGAAAGAAGAGCGUUCAUUUGUGUUUUCGUGUCCGGUCGCCGAGCUGUCGGACUCCCCUUUCAUCCAUCUACAGACUUCCAGCGUCGAUGUAGAAUCCAUCGAUUUGCCUUUGUCGCUGGAUGCUAUCUGUUUUUUACGUAGCACUCUGGGUGUGAGGCUGUAUACACCUUUUUUGGGUGCCUUCGCCAAGCGACCAUGUAGCCGGCGUUUGGACGAGGACAACGUGACGGGUUGGUUUCUUUGUUUCCGGCGUCCAGUUGGUACGUUCUCCGGUGAAGGAAAUCUUUGUCGCCUUGCAGUCGCAUCGAAUGUUUGUUCUGUACAAAAGGGACGUUGCUUCGGGAAGCGACCUGCAACGCAGGCUGGCAUAGGCUGCGGUGCCGAACCAAGUGGUUUUCGGUCUGUCGUGCUGUCACUGAGUGGAAAUGUCGAUUUUUUCUGUGGAUGAGCGAUGCCGAAGAUCUGCGUAGGGGUCGAGAGAGACCGUACCCACUUCGUGAAUGGCCUUCCCUGUGGAGCAAAAAAAGGGAGUGCCGACGCGCACUUACUUUUGAAGAGCACCUGGUCCAAGAGUCGUUUCUUCACGAUUGCCCGGACCCUCCUGUGUGCCGUUAGCCGUAUGUGCACACGUCUGGUUUCUUCCACGGCAACGCGAUGUUGCAGAACCAAUUUGCGGACAGAGACGUUGGAUUUGCGAGGAAACCGGCCCUUAAACAGUGCCCCGAGCAAAGCUUGUGUGUGGCUGUUGAAAGAGCUUCACGGCAGUUUUUUUCGUUCCCGACGGGCUUCUUCGUUCCCUUCGAUCUUGCACAACAGCUGGCCUGUCGUGGCCAUUGUAUGUGUCGGUCGCCCUGGAUGGCGGUAGCACAUGUAUUGGUUGUGGUCUUUGUGAUGUUCUUCAGGUCGUAAGUGUUCUGUUCUGCUACAGACAGUCCACCUCUUCAAAGUGCAGUCAUGUAGCAGAACAGAGGACGCAUUUGCAACAGGGGGUUGUGUGGCCAAACCGGGGCGAUGUUCCUGAGGGAACGAAACGGCAGGUGGCCGUGCGUGCUUCGAUGCGCCUCUUUUCGGCAGCCCGUGUUCCUUUUGGGGUGUGUGUUUUACGGGCGCGAGGACAGAGCGACGCCUCACUGCUCGUGUCGAGUCUGUACACCCGAACACAAUGCCGGUCCGCUGUGCACUGGCCGCUUGUCUGCAUCGUGGUCCCUCUGCGCUGAACAGAGUGCCUGUCUCUCGAACAAGGCAGAGUGCUGAAGUGGACAGAGUUUUUACGAGUGCCUAGCAGUCUACGGGAUUUUAAGAGGGAAUGGUGGUGUUGGAAAGAAGAGGCAUUCUCUUCUGUCCUGGGCCAGCCUUAGAAAUUGAAGCGGAGUAGUCAGUCCUUGCUGUCCCGUGUGUCGGGGGGUGUUGAAGUGUUGAAGAGUCGGUGGGGAAGUCUUGCGCCUUUGUCCAGGUGCUGCCGGUCUGUCGUUCAUAUAACGCAUUCCGUGGCAGAUGAUUCCUGUAGACUGAAAGACUAGGCCCCCUGCAGACAGUCGAGGGAAGUCGAACAGCUGUGCGUCACGCGCGGAUCUACGCAGAGUGCCUACGCUCUGUAAGCUAGCCGAACAGCAAGCCCCUAAAG
rnacentral:lncRNA from 1 species